AUCUAUGGCUAUACACCCUGAACAUAUCCAACCUUGUCUGAUCUCAGAAGCCAAGCAGGGUUGGAUCUGGUUAGUUCUUGGAUGGGAGACUGAGAUUAUGGAAGAGGAGCAGUUACUGAUA
rnacentral:rRNA from 1 species